GUGCCAGCCGCCGCGGUAAUACGGAGGGUGCAAGCGUUGUCCGGAAUUAUUGGGUUUAAAGGGUGCGUAGGCGGCUUAUUAAGUCAGAGGUGAAAUCCCACAGCUUAACUGUGGAACUGCCUUUGAUACUGGUUAGCUUGAGUAUAGUAGAGGUAGGCGGAAUUGAAGGUGUAGCGGUGAAAUGCAUAGAUAUCUUCAAGAACACCAAUUGCGUAGGCAGCUUACUGGACUAUAACUGACGCUGAGGCACGAAAGCAUGGGGAGCGAACAGGAUUAGAAACCCUAGUAGUCC
rnacentral:rRNA from 1 species